GGGGCUGUAGCUCAACUGGUAGAGCGCCGCCUUUGCAAGGCGGAGGUCACCGGUUCGAUCCCGGUCAGCUCCACCA
rnacentral:tRNA from 1 species